CGUAGCUCUGUGUGCCAGAUCACGCCGGAGGCUGCAGUGCCACGCAGAGUGGCAAGAUGGGCUGGACACCCAGCUGACCCCUCUCAAGCCACCAAACCUAUUGUCUUCAGGCUCGUCUCAUUAAUUUUUGAGGAUUCUGUGAGUUCUGUGGAAAUUUUUUGGCCUCCAGGUGCUGGAGCAGGGAGCAGUGGUAGAAGAAGGAGGCUGGACAAUGGAACAGCUAUGUUACAUCUGUCAAAAUCUCAGAUUCUGCCUGUCGAGGAACUGAAGCUGAGUUUUGGUUAUUCUCUGCUGAAGCACACGGGUUGCUGCAAAGUCAAAACCUGCUUACAUAGCCAUAGAGGAAGAUCAUGUACCUGCUUGCAGCCUUUCAUAUCUAUUAAACUUAAUCAAGUUUGCCAGGCAACAAAUAAGAGACAGGAUCACUUGUGUGCUGUAUUACUCCACUGAAAGGCCUUUUAACAAUUUGCUAUUGUUUGAAAAAAAUUGCAUGUCAUCUGUAUUAGUCACAGUCUUCCUCCCAGGAACAUAACCUUAAUUACUGUUACUAGGUUUGUGUGCCUAAUGUAUUUGGUCCCACCUAUUUUGCUUGUGAACCUGUUAUUUUCAAUCACUGCCUUAAAAAAGAAAUACUUCAUUAUUACGACUGUGUUGCUUCUUCACUAAAUGCCAUGAUAUUUAUUUUCCUCUAGGCUGGAGGGACGAGCAGAGUGUUAUGACUGCUUUUUUUGUCAUGUUAGCAUUCCUGGUUUUCUCUGUUACUCACAAAUUAUAAAUAUAAAUGGUUCAAAAUAAAAA